rnacentral:rRNA from 1 species
UACGAAGGGUGCAAGCGUUACUCGGAAUUACUGGGCGUAAAGCGUGCGUAGGUGGUUUGUUAAGUCUGUUGUGAAAGCCCCGGGCUCAACCUGGGAAUGGCAAUGGAUACUGGCAAGCUAGAGUGCGGUAGAGGGUAGUGGAAUUCCCGGGUGUAGGCGGUGAAAUGCGUAGAGGAUCGGGAGGAACACCAGUGGCGAAGGCGGGCUACCUGGACCAGCACUGACACUGAGGCACGAAAGCGUGGGGGAGCAAACAGGA